UACGGGGGGGGCAAGCGUUGUUCGGAAUUACUGGGCGUAAAGGGCUCGUAGGCGGCCAUCUAAGUCAGACGUGAAAUCCCUCGGCUCAACCGAGGAACUGCGUCUGAUACUGGAAGGCUUGAAUCCGGGAGAGGGAUGUGGAAUUCCAGGUGUAGCGGUGAAAUGCGUAGAUAUCUGGAGGAACACCGGUGGCGAAGGCGGCAUCCUGGACCGGUAUUGACGCUGAGGCGCGAAAGCUAGGGGAGCAAACGGG
rnacentral:rRNA from 1 species